rnacentral:lncRNA from 1 species
AUGAUGUUGGCUUCAGCUAUAAAUAGACGCGUCGCACUCUCCAAUCAGAUGCACAACCACAAGACCAAGGAAGCAUUUGUUGAUCCCCGACUAAAUCUCAUUGGAAAACAAGCUAGAAAGCAUGGAAGGAGUGAAGAGUUUGAUCAUGUGUAUGCUAGUGCUAGGCUUAGUCCUGCAACAAGAGAAGAUCCAGGUGGAAGCAAAGAGUUGUUGCCCAUCCACCACAGCAAGAAAAUGUCUAUAACUCAUGCCGUUUCGCGGGUGGCUCAAGAGACACCUGUGCUAAACUUUCUGGCUGCAAAAUUGUUGAUGGGAACUGCAAGCCUCCUUACGUUCACCAUACCCUUCACCCAGAAGCUGUUUUUGCCAAUGAAGAAGCCAAUCAUGCCGUCGAUCGUUGCAACGAAGCAUGCCGCCGCUUCUGUUCCAAGGAAGCUGAGACUGUCACCGUUCUUUCCUAAGCAAGUGCAACUUGCAAGCAUAAGGGUCUUCCACACAUGGAAGCCCAUGUAGGCUAUGCCACCCUGGAGUACCAGAAAUAAAAAUGGAUAUCAUGAUAUCCAAUCCAGUGUGCCAUCGAUCUCUCUUGAUUUCUGUCACGUUGUAUUUCCAAUAAGCUAUGAUAAUCACGAUCUGCCAUCAUAUAUUAUCUUUUCUUGAGGAUGUGAGCAUGUAGAGUGAUGAUAUCAUUGCGUAAGAAAUAAAUCUUGUCAUCGGGAUGGAUCCCUUUUGUUAAAGUUAUAUAAUGCAUGCUACAUAUAUCGAACUGAGGUAGCAUUGAAUAUACAUGAUCAAUUGAGCUAGAUA